AUCUUGGGAAAUUUCAUCGUGAUGGGGAUAGAUCAUUGCAAUUGUUGGUCUUCAACGAGGAAUGCCUAGUAAGCGCGAGUCAUCAGCUCGCGUUGACUACGUCCCUGCCCUUUGUACACACCGCCCGUCGCUCCUACCGAUUGAAUGGUCCGGUGAAGUGUUCGGAUCGCGGCGACGGGGGCGGUUCGCCGCCCCCGACGUNGCGAGAAGUCCAUUGAACCUUAUCAUUUAGAGGAAGGAGAAGUCGUAACAAGGUUUCCGUAGGUGAACCUGCGGAAGGAUCAUUG
rnacentral:rRNA from 1 species